UGCGUAGGCGGGCUAAUAAGUCAGUGGUGAAAUCUUUCGGCUCAACCGAGAAACUGCCAUUGAUACUGUUAAUCUUGAGUUCGGUUGAGGUAGGCGGAAUGUGUAAUGUAGCGGUGAAAUGCUUAGAUAUUACACAGAACACCAAUUGCGUAGGCAGCUUACUAGACCGACACUGACGCUGAGGCACGAAAGCGUGGGGAGCGAACAGGAUUAGAUACCCUGGUAGUCC
rnacentral:rRNA from 1 species